rnacentral:rRNA from 1 species
GUGGGGAAUUUUGGACAAUGGGGGCAACCCUGAUCCAGCCAUGCCGCGUGAGUGAAGAAGGCCUUCGGGUUGUAAAGCUCUUUCGGCGGGAACGAAAAGGCCAUCUCUAAUACGGGUGGUCGAUGACGGUACUCGCAGAAGAAGCACCGGCUAACUACGUGCCAGCAGCCGCGGUAAUACGUAGGGUGCGAGCGUUAAUCGGAAUUACUGGGCGUAAAGCGUGCGCAGGCGGCUUUUUAAGCCAGACGUGAAAUCCCCGGGCUCAACCUGGGAAUGGCGUUUGGGACUGGAAGGCUUGAGUGCGGCAGAGGGAGGUGGAAUUCCUGGUGUAGCAGUGAAAUGCGUAGAUAUCAGGAGGAACACCGAUGGCGAAGGCAGCCUCCUGGGCCAGCACUGACGCUCAAGCACGAAAGCGUGGGGAGCAAACAGGAUUAGAAACCCGAGUAGUCC